GUGGGGAAUCUUGCGCAAUGGGCGAAAGCCUGACGCAGCAACGCCGCGUGCGGGAAGAAGGCUCUCGGGUUGUAAACCGCUUUCAGCAGGAACGAAAAUGACGGUACUUGCAGAAGAAGGUGCGGCCAACUACGUGCCAGCAGCCGCGGUGACACGUAGGCACCAAGCGUUGUCCGGAUUUAUUGGGCGUAAAGAGCUCGUAGGCGGUUCGGUAAGUCAGGUGUGAAAUCUGUGGGCUUAACCCACAGCGUGCAUCUGAUACUGCUGUGACUAGAGUUCGGUAGGGGAGUGGGGAAUUCCUAGUGUAGCGGUGAAAUGCGCAGAUAUUAGGAGGAACACCGGUGGCGAAGGCGCCACUCUGGGCCGAAACUGACGCUGAGGAGCGAAAGCGUGGGUAGCAAACAGGAUUAGAAACCCGAGUAGUCC
rnacentral:rRNA from 1 species